GCGGCGGCGGCGGCGGCUCGGAGCGCAUGACUCAGAAGAGCAGGUGACCUGCCAACACACAGGAGCAGGAGCGUGGCGGCGAGAAGAAAAACAAGCAGGAGGACAUCUCUGACAAGCAAUUACACGGCAGCUCGUCUGGGCGGCAGGUGGGGAUGAGCCCCGGCCUGCUGGAGGGGCAGAAGAUUGAAUACUCCAGAGAUGGAGCAGAAAAUGGCCGGAGGGAGAACACGGUACCGAGAGGCACGGGGUCGUUCCUCUGCUUCCUCCGAGCUGUUUGAGCAAAUCUGACACUUGUCUGACUCGUCCGCUCCCGAUCCGCCAGCGGCUUCAUCCAACUCCUCAAACUCGUCUCCUGAGAGUUGACCGGAGCCCCGACACCGGCUGAAAAUCCACAGUAACAUCGUGUCAGAGUUCCUCAACGCUCUCCUCCUCCCCAUACGCUGC